rnacentral:rRNA from 1 species
CUACGGGUCGCAGCAGUGAGGAAUAUUGCACAAUGGGGGGAACCCUGAUGCAGCAACGCCGCGUGGAGGAUGACGCAUUUCGGUGUGUAAACUCCUUUUAUAUGUCAAGAAAAUGACGGUAGCAUAUGAAUAAGCACCGGCUAACUCCGUGCCAGCAGCCGCGGUAAUACGGAGGGUGCAAGCGUUACUCGGAAUCACUGAGCGUAAAGGACGCGUAGGCGGGUUGGUAAGUCAGGUGUGAAAUCCUACAGCUUAACUGUAGAACUGCACUUGAAACUUCUAAUCUAGAGUAUGGGAGGGGGAGAUGGAAUUAGUGGUGUAGGGGUAAAAUCCGUAGAUAUCACUAGGAAUACCUAAAGCGAAGGCGAUCUCCUGGAACAUUACUGACGCUAAGGCGUGAAAGCGUGGGGAGCAAACAGGAUUAGAUACCCCCGUAGUC